rnacentral:rRNA from 1 species
AGAGUUGAUCCUGGCUCAGAAUGAACGCUGGCGGCAUGGAUUAGGCAUGCAAGUCGAACGUACUCCCUUCGGGGAGAAAGUGGCGAAAGGGUGAGUAACACGUGAGCAACCUGCCUCCGGAUCCGGAAUAAUCCAGGGAAACUUGGUCUAAAACCGAAUGAAGACAUUGGUCCGCAUGGUCUAAUGUUAAAAUAUUUAUAGUCCGGAGAGGGGCUCGCGGCCCAUUAGCUUGUUGGCGGGGUAAUGGCCCACCAAGGCUACGACGGGUAGGUGGUCUGAGAGGAUGGUCACCCACACUGGGACUGAGACACUGCCCAGACUCCUACGGGAGGCUGCAGUCGAGAAUCUUCCGCAAUGGGCGCAAGCCUGACGGAGCGAUGCCGCGUGAGGGAUGAAGGCCUUCGGGUUGUAAACCUCUGUCAUCCGGGACGAAAACAAUGACGGUACCGGAAAAGGAAGCCACGGCUAACCACGUGCCAGCCGCUGC